rfam:Mus musculus chromosome 2, GRC primary reference assembly.
UGACACCCAACAGUGAGUCUCCAGUAGAAAGGGGCCAGUGAAGAUCACCACAGUGUUUUUGGUCAACUGACGAAUUUUGUGUGGAAGACGUCUUGAGCAGAAACCUGCUGCCUCGACUAGGGAUCCUGUUAAGUUUGUGGUGAUCAUAGGACAGGCAUUGAGUAGCUGUGAAUUAUUUAUGGAAGGUUUGAAAAAGGCUUUAAAGGCGAGAAGGAUAAAGGUUAAAACACAUGACUUAGUUGCAUUUUUUGAUGUUGUAAAAGACAUUUACCCAU